CAAAGACAUCGUCCUUUGGGGAUUCAGAGCAAAAGUCUGACCUUUCUAUUGAUACCAAAGGUCUGAAGCAAGAGCAAUCACAGGUCACUCAACCAAAGGAGGGCCAAACCAAUCAGAAUUCUUCUAUUAGAAGUCGUACCAAGGUUCAAAUGCAAGGGGUGGCAGUGGGCCGGGCAGUGGACUUGACAGCAAUAAAAGGAUACGAUGAACUCACAAGUAAACUUGAAGAUAUGUUUGAGAUCCACGGAGAGCUUCGCCCAAGAAAAAAAAUGGGAAAUUGUCUUCACAGACGAUGAGGGAGACACGAUGCUUAUGGGGGAUCAUCCAUGGCUAGAAUUCUGUAGUGUGGUGAGGAGGAUUCUUAUUUGUUCCAACACUGAGGUAAAGAAAACGAGUGCAGGAAACACACCCCCUUCUUCAGUAUCCGAAUCACUGUAAACGACAGAAAUUCCCCCUUCUAGUCGUAUACCUUCCCUGAUUGUUUUUCGUGUCCACUCCCAUGGUUAAGGAAAAGAACGAGGCUUUCUAGUUUCUUUUCCUUUAGGCUGUCAGAAUUAACAAAAAAUGAAAUUCUUGCAGAAUGGAAAGGGUCUGAGUACUAGAAUGCUAGUUGGCAGCUCUAUAUUGACACCAUCUGAUUAGGGGUAAAACUCCCAAGUUAGAACAAGUUGAGGUGUUAGGGGGGGGGGGGUGCAUUGGACUGUUAAUGUGAAAACUUUAAGUGUAGUUUGGUUUUUAUGUAUCUCUGUAAAUAUGGAAAAUGUUGUAUUUGGGUCAUUUGGCAUCUCUGACUUUAAGUGUAAACUCUGUUUAGGUAUCAACUGAUUGGAGGUAACAGUGGCACCACCUUGGUGCCCUUCUUUUUAG